AGCAGCCGCGGUAAUUCCAGCUCCAAUAGCGUAUAUUAAAGUUGUUGCAAGUUAAAAAGCUCGUAGUUGAACUUCAGGCCUGUCCAGAUGGUCCGCCUUAAUUGGUGUGUACUGUCCUUGGGUGGGUCCUACCUUCUGGCGAAGCGGCAUGGCCUUAAUUGGUUGUGUCGGGGAACCUAGGUACUUUUACUAGUAGAAAAAUUAGAGUAGUUCAAAGCAGGCAUUAUAUGCUCGAAUACAUUAGCAUGGAAUAAUGGAAUAGGACGAUGGUUCUAUUUUGUUGGUUCUAGGACCGUUGUAAUGAUUAAUAGGGAUAGUUGGGGGCAUUAGUAUUCAAUUGUCAGAGGUGAAAUUCUUGGAUUUAUUGAAGACUAACUACUAGCGAAAGCAUUUGCCAAGGUAUGUUUUCAUUAAUCAAGAACGAAAGUUAGGGGAUCGAAGACGAUCAGAUACCGUCGUAGUCUUAACCAUAAACUAUGACCGACUAGGAAUCGGGCAUGUUAGACAAAAUGACUCG
rnacentral:rRNA from 1 species